UUUAAGAGUGGUCCCCACCUCCAGCAACAGCAGCAGCAGCCAGGUUGAUGUCAGCAGCCUCUCUCUCUCUACCCCCAGUGUAAUGGGAAUUGCAAGCCAUCACUCUCCAGAUUUCCACCCUCCCGCAUGGCAGGGAUGCGGGGGGCUUUGCAGAGACGACUAAUGCAGAAGCAUCUUGCAGCCUGAACCUCUCCCCCACCAUUGCAAGAGGGCCGAAGAGAAUAAAGGAGAGGCUGGAGACCUUCCAUCCAGCCACACACACACACACACAGGCAGUUCCUUGGCUGUCGAGCAGGGAGCAUGUCCCCCA